UGCUAACAAUCCCAUUUAAUCCUCACAACCA
rnacentral:piRNA from 1 species